rnacentral:rRNA from 1 species
GAUUUUAAUAAGUUAGGCUGAUAUUAUACACGAAAAACAAUGAGCUAAUUAUAUUGGAAUGAUAGUUUUUAAAUUAUAUGUAGCAGAAUAUAAGGAAAAAAGUUAAUUAGGGGUGAUAGGCUUAUCAAAUUGUUAGAUAUCUUGAUCUGUAGGAAAAUUAUUUAGUAUUAAGAUAAUUAAGGAAUGGUUAGGUUUCUUAAAAGCACUAAAAAAAAUUAAUUUUACAACAGUUAAUUUAAUCAUUACUGUUUAUAAUUACUAAUAAUUUACUAUUACUCUGUUGUGAUGAAUUACUACAGCAGUUUCUAAAUUUAUUAUAUAGAUCUUUGUUAAUGAAAAUAUUAGUAUUUUAAGAUAUUUUGACAAGGAACUCGGCAAAAAUUUUUACUCAACUGUUUAACAAAAACAUAGCUAAUUGUAAUUAUAUUUAGUUUCUUCUGCUCAAUGGUUUAUCUAAAUAGCCGCAGUA